AUUGAACGCUGGCGGCAUGGAUUAGGCAUGCAAGUCGAGCGAGAAGUGUAGCAAUACACGGAAAGCGGCGGAAGGGAGAGUAAUACGUGGGAAUCUGCCCUUAGACCUGGGAUAGCAGCGGGAAACUGCUGGUAAUACCAGAUAAUGUCUAUGGACCAAAGGUGUGAUUCCGUCUAGGGAUGAGCCCACGUCCUAUUAGCUAGUUGGUAGGGUAAUGGCCUACCAAGGCGAUGAUGGGUAGCGGGUGUGAGAGCAUGACCCGCCUCACUGGGACUGAGACACUGCCCAGACACCUACGGGUGGCUGCAGUCGAGAAUCUUCGGCAAUGGGCGCAAGCCUGACCGAGCGAUGCCGCGUGCGGGAUGAAGGCCUUCGGGUUGUAAACCGCUGUCGAGGGGGAGCAACUUCCAUAGAGUUAUCUUUAUGGAUUGAGUGAUCCCUGGAGGAAGGACGGGCUAAGUUCGUGCCAGCAGCCGCAGUAAGAC
rnacentral:rRNA from 1 species